rnacentral:rRNA from 1 species
GAUGAACGCUGGCGGCGUGCUUAACACAUGCAAGUCGAGCGGAAAGGCUCCUGCUUGCAGGGGUACUCGAGUGGCGAACGGGUGAGUAACACGUGGGUGAUCUGCCCUGCACUUCGGGAUAAGCCUGGGAAACUGGGUCUAAUACCGGAUAGGACGAUGGUUUGGAUGCCAUUGUGGAAAGUUUUUUCGGUGUGGGAUGAGCUCGCGGCCUAUCAGCUUGUUGGUGGGGUAAUGGCCUACCAAGGCGUCGACGGGUAGCCGGCCUGAGAGGGUGUACGGCCACAUUGGGACUGAGAUACGGCCCAGACUCCUACGGGAGGCAGCAGUGGGGAAUAUUGCACAAUGGGCGCAAGCCUGAUGCAGCGACGCCGCGUGGGGGAUGACGGCCUUCGGGUUGUAAACUCCUUUCGCUAGGGACGAAGCGCAAGUGACGGUACCUGGAGAAGAAGCACCGGCUAACUACGUG